UUGUAUAAGGGCUCAGGGCCCAGAUGCAGAUGGUUUGAUUAUUUGAUAUUUAUUAGUUUAAAAAAGGGUAGGCAAGAGAAUGGUCGUGGACAGGCAAAAGUUCAAAACCAGAUCAGAGUCUAGGAGGUACAGAGUGGCAGGCAGGCUCGAGGUCAGGGCAGGCAGACUGGACAGGCAGGCUCGAGGUCAGGGCAGGCAGACUGGACAGGCAGGCUCGAGGUCAGGGCAGGCAGACUGGACAGGCAGGCUCGAGGUCAGGGCAGGCAGACUGGACAGGCAGGCUCGAGGUCAGGGCAGGCAGACUGGACAGGCAGGCUCGAGGUCAGGGCAGGCAGACUGGACAGGCAGGCUCGAGGUCAGGGCAGGCAGACUGGACAGGAAGGUGGGACAGGCAGGUGGGACAGGCAGGUGGGACAGAGUCCAGAAAACAGACAUGGGGUCAAAACCGGGAGGACGAGGACAAGCAAAAGCAGGAGCACAGGGAGAAACACGCUGGUUGACUUGGAAACAUACAAGACAAACUGGCUCAGAGAGACAGGAAACACUGGGAUAAAUACACUGUGGAAAAUAAGCGACACCUGGAGGGGGUAGAGACCAUCACAAGGACAGGUGAAACAGAUCAGGGCGUGGCAGAUUGGUUGAUUGAGUAGUUAGUAUCAGUCAGUUAUUAGUUAGUCAGUCUUGUCUGUCUGUCAGUCUGUAUCCAUGUAUCCAUCCCAAAUGUGACGUGUGUGAGAGAGUGUCUUAAAACACAUGCGUUUCUUCCCAAUAUACCGUGCAUGAUACUUUGAUAUUGUGUAAUACGUUCCUCCUUCACUUCUAUAGUGCCCUUAGGAAAAUGCUUUGAUAUUUACACCUUGGAGCAGAGUUCAACGUUUUGUCAGGGGCAAGUUAAAAACACAUUUCCUGCAUCUUUGCAGGGGUAAACAGAUAUACAUUCAAACCUCUCCUAGGAGAUGGAGUUCCUCCACAAAGCUUCUGACAAAAUAAAGUCUGCUCCACAAUUAUACAGAAAGGAUCCCGUUUGACUCACACGUUCUGCUUCGUUGUAUCUCUUUCUU